UACAGAGGGUGCGAGCGUUGUUCGGAAUUAUUGGGCGUAAAGGGCGCGUAGGCGGUGCGGUAAGUCACCUGUGAAAUCUCCUGGCUCAACUGGGAGUCUGCAGGCGAAACUGCCGUGCUGGAGUGUGGGAGAGGUGAGUGGAAUUCCCGGGUGUAGCGGUGAAAUGCGUAGAUAUCAAGCGGAACACCGGUGGCGAAGGCGGCCUUCUGGACAGUGACUGACGCUGAGACGCGAAAGCGUGGGGAGCAAACAGG
rnacentral:rRNA from 1 species